AGUUCUGCAAGCAGGCCAGAGGAGAUGGUGCUUGUUAACGUAUUUUGAGCUCGUGUGCAAGUGUUCAAAGAGCAACAGGACGUUGCCAUGGAUUAACAGGGGAACGUGGGAGGAUGGCCGUUCGGGGGACCCAGGAUCAAUCUGAAAUCCCAGCAGAUGACUUUGGGGGUUUUUGUUUUUAAUUGCUCCAGAAAGCCAUCAUUCAGCAUGACUGCAAAAGCACCUUUCCCGGUUCCCAGAGAAACCAAACUGGGCAGACUGGGAGCACCGAUCUGGGUGGUGUCUGGGCAGUGAGGUUGACCCUGCCCAGCACUCCACCUCCACAACACGUGCCCACUGUCCUCCCAAACAUCCGGCCUGCAAGGAAGAAGGCCUCCAGAAUUCCCUCCACAUCCCUGAACAGUCCUCACCCAUGUUUUUCUGAACAAAACUUUUUUUCCUCUUUAGUCUGAUGCUAGAACUUCUUUUUUUCUGGAAAGACAGUAUUCAGAUUUACAACUCAAAGCCUGAUAUAAUUGUAUGAGCCCCCAUGAGUUUGCGUCCUCUAUGAGUGAAUAUGUGCUCUCUGGGCCACAGCUAGGUGGGUUCUUGCUGAGACUCUGCUGUACUCCACUUUCACUGUAGUUCUUUGAAUGGGCUAGCUCACUUGAUGUGCAUCCUUUAACUUGUGGUUAGCGUGUCUUUAAGAAGUCCAUAUAUUAAGGGGAGGGGAAUCCCUUGAAGAUUUAACAUAGAUUCCACUUGACUCCCAGAUCCAUAAUCCUACACGCAGUUUUUCAGAGCUCUUCAGCUCAGUUUCCUCUGUGUGUGCUUCCAUUGCAGGAGAGAACCUGUAAUGUUUGUGAACUGCCUUUUUCUUCCUCAGAAUCGCCUAGCCUGAUUGAGAGAGCCGCAGGUAGUGCAUAAUAAAUGGAAAUGCCAGUGCAGUCACUGAAAAGGGCGUUGGGCCACCUUGUGCAUAUGUAGGCCAUAUGCGCAGAGGCAUCCGGAAAUCUGCAGGGAGAAUGUGGCAUGUUCUUCCAGGAGAAGGUCAAAUCAUCCUGGAUAAUGCAAGUGGAAAAGACUGCCUUGUUGUGUUCCAGAAUAUCCCAUGAGUUUCAGUUCACUUGGUGUCCCUCAUGUACCCAGGUGAUUCAAUUUUUUUACAACUACCAGUAUCUGAGUUGUAUGUAGUUCAAGAGGAGAGCUGCGUCAGCAUGCGUAAGGCUGCAAAGGAACAGGUAACAGGUUUGUUCCAUGCUGAAUAAACACUUGAAGGCUCCACAGCCAAAACGUUGCGUUUUCCUUUCCUUUUCAGUGUGGAAUUAACCCGUUACCUGUUCCCCUGAGUCAUAUGGACUUGGCAUCUUUUUACAACAGCAAGAUGGUCCUGCGCAUAGUGUUGGCACUCCACACCGCUGGGCAGAAAUGACAGUCAGUCUUGAAACCUGUACCACUCCCUCUUCAUCAUUUUCACCGAAGAGCUACCGUCUUGUGCAGCUUGCAGAGAAAUGGACCCUGCCUGUGUUGAAAACAAAAUCCUUAACCGGUAAAAUGUGACUGUUUUUUUUUCUCCCCAGUUGAAACAAAAAAGUCUGAAACCGAACCAUGAUAAAAUAUUUUUAUUUGCUAUCUAUUUGUUUUAGACCACAACAAACAGUAUCAAAAAAGCUUUUUUUGUUUAAAAAGUAAAUUUUAGAAUAAAUGUUUUCCUUAAAAAAAAAAUAUGAAUAUAAUAUCUGUUCUUUAUAUUUUAAAAUAUACAGUCGACAGUAGAGUACAGGAUCCCCCUCCCCUGUUGUGGAGGAAUUUAGGAUGAGCACUAAAGUAAAAUACAGGUCUGGAACAGGGGAGUUGUCUUCACAGCUAUACAAAUAGAUACUCACUCUGGUACAUACAGCAGAUCAAUGUAAUACAUGAAUAAAAAUGCUAUAGUUUCUA